rnacentral:lncRNA from 1 species
GCCAUUUUAGCUAAACAUCAUAAAAACAAAACAGAACAUUUACCCAUCUGCUAUUCACCCUUGCUCACAGGUAUAUUUAACUGAGACAUUUUAUACAAUGGCCCAGUGAUUCACCCUUCACCUAAAGCUGGGCUUUUUCUCUGAAGCUCUCAUGAAAUGAGAAAUCCUUUGAGAAGCUCUUUGAAAUCUAGGACAGCUACUAUCUCACAAGAACAGUGACAGGUUGAGGAGAAGGCUGAUGGGAAAAUCCACUGAAGAGCCUUUCAGUCAGACCCACCUGCAGCCACUCAUGCCUGUUAGAGUCUCCAUUAAAAAGACAAUACGCCACUGCAAGUUCCUGUUCUUGUGAACAAUGUCUUACAGGUGUUUGGAGAGAGGCUUCCUGCAAACCAGUCGCUCACUCCCAGGACUGAAGCUUUCCUAUCUUGUACCCAGUGAAAGUAUCAUAGUGCCUCUUUUCUACGCUGAUAUGUAACUUACUUUUCAGUGCAAAUGUGAUGCAUUGAAAGUUCUGCUUUCCUGUAUAACAGAACUGAUAAAAUUUCAUCUCAACAUUCACCUAGGAAAGAAUAAAUCCAUUUUGUCAGGUUCA